UUCCCUGAGGGUUUCAUCCCUUGUUCUGAAGGAUUUGGGGGAAGAUGGGUUUGUAGUUGUUAUACCCAGCUCCCCUGUCCUGGGCCAGGGGACAGGGCUAGGCACUGGUCAUCUCACUGGUGUGGAUGUUAUCAAUGUCCAGCAUGUGUUAGAUCCUGGAAAUAUGGAAUAUUUUGGGUUGGAAGGGAAAGUGAACAUUAUCUCUAUAUAACCCCCUACCAUGAGCAGGGACAACUUCCACUAUCCCAUGCUGCUCCCAGCCCCAUCCAGCCUGGCCUUGGACACUUACAGGGAUCCAGAAGCAAUCACAGCUUCUCUGGGCAACCUGUGCCAGGGCCUCAGCACCCUCUCAGGGAAAAAUUCCUUCCCAAUAUCCCACCCAAAUUUCCCCUUUUUCACUUUGAACCCAUUCUCCCUUUUCCUGUCCCUCCAUCCCUUGUCCCUAGUUCCUCUCCAGGUCUCCUGAAGCCUCUUUGGGCUCUGGAAGUGGCUCUGAGAUCUCUCUGGAGCCUUCUCCUCUGCAGGCUGAGCAGUCCUACCCUCUCAGUCUCCUCUGGAAAACUGCCUGAUGGAAAAGUACUUGAGAAACAUUUGUGGGAAUGUGCCAUCUCUGAGGUUCACUGCUCCAUCCAGUCUGGCUGGGGUGAGGAGGUUCCAGAGUUGUUUGGAGGAAAGAGGGGGUGGGUGACAGCAGGAUACACAAUCAGCAUCAUCCUCAAGUGCUGUAGGAGUAAAACAAACACUUCAAAAGCAGCUUGUGCAUCAGCAAUCCAAACUGACACCAGGAGAAGGGAAACCAGGACAACUGGGAAAUUUCUACAAGGCGCAAUUAAUCAGACCCAAAAAACAAACCACAGCUCUGCCUCUGAGGCAGCAGGAGAAGCAGAGAAGCAGAAAACGAGGCUGAGCCUCUCCCUUUCCCCACAUCCAGCAUGCAAAUCCAUCCUGAGCAAUUUCUGGAGCAGCAGAAGGUUUUUGUCCAAACACACCAUAUGUGCUCCAACCUCAUUUUCCUCCCAUCUCUCCUGGACUGCCAGGUGGAGCUGA
rnacentral:lncRNA from 1 species